rnacentral:rRNA from 1 species
CAACGAACGCAACCCCUAUUGUUACGUUGCCAUCAUUCAGUUGGGCACUCUAGCGAAGACUGCCGGUAAUAAACCGAGAAGUGGGGAUGACGUCAAAUCAUCAUGCCCUUAUGACCUGGGCUACACACGUGCUACAAUGGUUGGUACAACGAGUUGCGAGUCGGUGACGGCGAAGCUAAUCUCUUAAAGCCAAUCUCAGUUCGGAUUGAAGCCUGCAACUCGACUUCAUGAAGGCGGAAUCGCUAGUAACCGCGAAUCAGCAGGUCCGCGGUCGAAUACGUUCCGGGCCUU